UGCAGUCGAGCGGACCGACGGGAGCUUGCUCCCCUAGGUCAGCGGCGGACGGGUGAGUAACACGUGGGUAACCUGCCUGUAAGACUGGGAUAACUCCGGGAAACCGGGGCUAAUACCGGAUGCUUGAUUGAACCGCAUGGUUCAAUCAUAAAAGGCGGCUUCGGCUGCCACUUACAGAUGGACCCGCGGCGCAUUAGCUAGUUGGUGAGGUAACGGCUCACCAAGGCGACGAUGCGUAGCCGACCUGAGAGGGUGAUCGGCCACACUGGGACUGAGACACGGCCCAGACUCCUACGGGAGGCAGCAGUAGGGAAUCUUCCGCAAUGGACGAAAGUCUGACGGAGCAACGCCGCGUGAGUGAUGAAGGUUUUCGGAUCGUAAAACUCUGUUGUUAGGGAAGAACACGUACCGUUCGAAUAGGGCGGUACCUUGACGGUACCUAACCAGAAAGCCACGGCUAACUACGUGCCAGCAGCCGCGGUAAUACGUAGGUGGCAAGCGUUGUCCGGAAUUAUUGGGCGUAAAGCGCGCGCAGGCGGUUUCUUAAGUCUGAUGUGAAAGCCCCCGGCUCAACCGGGGAGGGUCAUUGGAAACUGGGGAACUUGAGUGCAGAAGAGGAGAGUGGAAUUCCACGUGUAGCGGUGAAAUGCGUAGAGAUGUGGAGGAACACCAGUGGCGAAGGCGACUCUCUGGUCUGUAACUGACGCUGAGGCGCGAAAGCGUGGGGAGCGAACAGGAUUAGAUACCCUGGUAGUCCACGCCGUAAACGAUGAGUGCUAAGUGUUAGAGGGUUUCCGCCCUUUAGUGCUGCAGCAAACGCAUUAAGCACUCCGCCUGGGGAGUACGGUCGCAAGACUGAAACUCAAAGGAAUUGACGGGGGGCCCGCACAAGCGGUGGAGCAUGUGGUUUAAUUCGAAGCAACGCGAAGAACCUUACCAGGUCUUGACAUCCUUCUGACACCCCUAGAGAUAGGGGCUUCCCCUUCGGGGGCAAGUGACAAGUGGUGCA
rnacentral:rRNA from 1 species